AACAACAGAACAUCAUCUCCCUGAUUCUGGGCUACUCCUAUCACUGAAAGUAAAAGAUUCCAGCUAACUACCUGAAUUGUCACAGAAGAGCUCAACUCCAAGUGGAUCAAGACCUCCUCGCAAAGCCAGACACUCUGAAGCUAAUAGAAAAGAAACUGGGGAAGAUCCUUGAGGACAUGGGCACAGGAGGAAAUUUCCUGAAUAGAACACCAAUAGCUUAUUCUCUAAGAUCAAGAAUUAACAACUGGGACCUCAUAAAAUUACAAAGUUUCUGUAAGGCAAAGGACACCAUCAGAAGGACAAAUCAGCAACAAAUUGGGAAAAUAUCUUCAUCAACCUUACAUCUGAAAGAGGGCUAAUAUCGAAUAUAUACAAAGAACUCAAGAAGUUACACCCCAGAAAACCAAAUAACCCUAUUAAAAAUGAGGUACAGAGCUAAACAAAGAAUUUUUACCUGAGGAACUUCGGAUGGCUGAGAAGCAUCUUAAAAACAAUUUAUAUCAAAUAAAUUAAUUCACAAUGUUA